rnacentral:misc_RNA from 1 species
AACGGCUCUUUUCAGAGCCACC